AUUGAACGCUGGCGGCAUGCUUUACACAUGCAAGUCGAACGGUAACAGGCCGCAAGGUGCUGACGAGUGGCGAACGGGUGAGUAAUGCAUCGGAACGUGCCCAGUCGUGGGGGAAAACGCAGCGAAAGCUGUGCUAAUACCGCAUACGAUCUAUGGAUGAAAGCGGGGGACCGUAAGGCCUCGCGCGAUUGGAGCGGCCGAUGUCAGAUUAGGUAGUUGGUGGGGUAAAGGCCUACCAAGCCGACGAUCUGUAGCUGGUCUGAGAGGACGACCAGCCACACUGGGACUGAGACACGGCCCAGACUCCUACGGGAGGCAGCAGUGGGGAAUUUUGGACAAUGGGCGCAAGCCUGAUUCAGCAAUGCCGCGUGCAGGAAGAAGGCCUUCGGGUUGUAAACUGCUUUUGUACGGAACGAAACGGUCUGGGUUAAUACCCUGGGCUAAUGACGGUACCGUAAGAAUAAGCACCGGCUAACUACGUGCCAGCCGCCGCGGUAACAC
rnacentral:rRNA from 1 species